CCUACGGGUGGCAGCAGUGGGGAAUAUUGGGCAAUGGAGGAAACUCUGACCCAGCAAUGCCGCGUGAAUGAAGAAGGUCUUCGGAUUGUAAAGUUCUUUAGUCAGGGAAGAAGUCAAUGACGGUACCUGAAGAAUCAGCUCCGGCUAACUACGGGCCAGCAGCCGCGGUAAUACGUAGGGAGCAAGCGUUGUUCGGAAUGACUGGGCGGAAAGGGUGCGUAGGCGGUUUUACAAGUUAGAAGUGAAAUACCCAGGGCUUAACUCGGGUGCUGCUUCUAAUACUGGAUGACUUGAGUGCAGUAGAGGGUAGUGGAAUUCCAAGUGUAGCGGUGGAAUGCGUAGAGAUUAGGAGGAACACCAGAGGCGAAGGCGGCUAACUGGACUGCAACUGACGCUGAGGCACGAAAGUGUGGGGAGCAAACAGGAUUAGAUACCCCAGUAGUC
rnacentral:rRNA from 1 species